rnacentral:rRNA from 1 species
GACGAACGCUGGCGGCGUGCUUAACACAUGCAAGUCGAACGGCAAGGCCCUGCUUUUGUGGGGUGCUCGAGUGGCGAACGGGUGAGUAACACGUGAGUAACCUGCCCUUGACUUUGGGAUAACUUCAGGAAACUGGGGCUAAUACCGGAUAGGAGCUCCUGCUGCAUGGUGGGGGUUGGAAAGUUUCGGCGGUUGGGGAUGGACUCGCGGCUUAUCAGCUUGUUGGUGGGGUAGUGGCUUACCAAGGCUUUGACGGGUAGCCGGCCUGAGAGGGUGACCGGCCACAAGGGGACUGAGAGACGGCGCAGACGCCUACGGGAGGCAGUAGUGGGGAAUAUUGCACAAUGGGACGGAGCCUGAUGCAGCGACGCCGCGUGCGGGAUGACGGCCUUCGGGGUGUAAACCGCUUUCGCCUGAGACGAAGCGGGAGUGACGGUAAUGGGUAAAGAAGCACCGGCUAACUACGUG